rnacentral:rRNA from 1 species
GAUGAACGCUGGCGGCGUGCCUAAUACAUGCAAGUCGAGCGAACAGACGAGGAGCUUGCUCCUCUGACGUUAGCGGCGGACGGGUGAGUAACACGUGGAUAACCUACCUAUAAGACUGGGAUAACUUCGGGAAACCGGAGCUAAUACCGGAUAAUAUAUUGAACCGCAUGGUUCAAUAGUGAAAGACGGGUUUGCUGUCACUUAUAGAUGGAUCCGCGCCGCAUUAGCUGGUUGGUAAGGUAACGGCUUACCAAGGCAACGAUGCGUAGCCGACCUGAGCGGGUGAUCGCCGACACUGGAACUGAGCCACGGUCCAGACGCCUACGGGAGGCAGCAGUAGCGAAUCUGCCGCAAGGGGGGAAAGCCUGACGGAGCAACCCCGCGUGAGUGAUGAAGGUCUUCGGAUCGUAAAACUCUGUUACGAGGGAAGAACAAAUGUGUAAGUAACUAUGCACGUCUUGACGGUACCUAAUCAGAAAGCCACGGCUAACUACGUG